UUUCUCAUUCUUCUUUGAAACAGGCUUGAAGACUCAAGCUGCAUGAGGGCAGGCAGGAGCAGCUCUCUUCUCACUGGCCAUUUGCCAUGACAUGAGAAUGAACAUUGUGCAACCAGUGACCUACAGCUACAGCAUCCCCACCUUGAGCAGCGGCAAUGGCAGAGCAAGGCUGGGCAAACCAAGAGGAGCAGGGACCAGCUGCAGGGAGACGCAGCGAGGCAGCACGACAGUUCACCCAUCUUCAGCUUUCAACCUGUUGCCAGAGCUGGCAGGUGUUAUCCUGGUUGCCAAUUUUCCUGUCCAGGCAAAAAUCUUCUUUAGACUUUCAAGGACUUCUCCUGAAGGACAUGCCGAACUAAUAUCCCAAGCAAGAGUGCAGGUGAAGGAUCACCAUGCCCUACAGAGAAGUGAC